UACGGAGGAUCCGAGCGUUAUCCGGAUUUAUUGGGUUUAAAGGGUGCGCAGGCGGGGGAUUAAGUCGGCGGUGAGAUUUUGCAGCUCAACUGUAAAAGUGCCUUCGAAACUGGUUUCCUUGAGUGUAGAUGAAGUAGGCGGAAUUUGUGGUGUAGCGGUGAAAUGCAUAGAUAUCACGAGGAACUCCGAUUGCGCAGGCAGCUUACUAAACUACUACUGACGCUCAGGCACGAAGGCGUGGGGAUCAAACAGGAUUAGAUACCCCCGUAGU
rnacentral:rRNA from 1 species